rnacentral:lncRNA from 1 species
ACCGACAAAGCACUGGCAUGCCUGAAACAUCUUCUGCAACAACAGUUGCUUCUGGCAAGAGUUUGUGCAUUAAAUGGUUCGCAAGCAUCAGGUAAACAACUGCAUCUACAUCAGUAUCCAAACCAAAAUAUUCCUUGUAACUUCCAGCGAAUGACAUAUUGAUACCAUGGUGAUUAUAUAGCAUGGAUGUUACCCCAUCAAAUCGGAAGCCAUCAAACAUGAAUUCGUCCAUCCAAUAU